AGAAAGGACAAAAAAUAUCCUCUCUCUGCCACAGGAAAUACAUAAAGCAAAACAAAACUCAAUAUCACUGUCAAGUGCUCCUGGGUGCUCCCCUGAAGGGACAAACUCACAGUCCAGGUUUGGCUAUGUUAUAAACUUGAAAGCUAUCUUUCCUUUGCCCCUAAAUUAUCCAGAGCUGUUUCAUCUCUCUUCCUCAGAAGAAUCUUGACAACCCCUUUGGCACCUGGGAGAUGGCCAGGUACAGCAGGAAGAACACGGAAUUUGAAAUCAUUAGACCGGAGAUUAGAUCUGGCCCCACCACUUACUACCUGUGUAACCUCAGGCGACUCAUCCUUAGGAGUCUUACCAGACUGUUGAGAGGAGCAAACAAGAAAUAGCAGGUUGUUGGCCGUCAUGCUGCUCUGGCCCCAGCCUGUGGGUCACGAGUCUACUGAAUGAAGAAUCCCAGACAAGGCUAAUUAUGUACUAUUCCAAUAAAAGAUCCAAGACUUCUCCAGGCUCUGCCUCCACACCAUAAAUAAGAGCAUCAAUAGUAAGUAAUCCUUGUAUUCUUGCUUCGGCCAAAAGAAUAUCUAGUUAUUAGUUGUGGCUCCGUUAGGUUUUUCCUUGGAUUUCUAACUCAUUCCUGAGAAGAAGGGUGCAUUGUGUUUUACGUUAGCAAUAUUUCUUGUUGAUUCUCAUAACUCCACUUAAUGAAAAAUAGAACUUGGUCUGGAUUCUUAGUGUCUUGUGGCUCUUUGUUGAGAACUAAUGGAUUUGAGACACAAAUCCAUUGCAGUAGUGUGGGAAACCAUCAAUAUAUUUUAAAGUCAGCUGGUAUAGUGGAAAAAAAAUAAUGAAAGGCUGGAGUCUCAGCUUUGGGUUCUAGCUUCCUGACCUCUUGUGAGUAAACUUUGGAAAGUUAUUUAACUGCGUGGAGUCUUUGUUUCUUCAGCUAUAA